UAUACAGNNAAANUGNGAUGGCUCAUUAAUCAGUUAUUGUUUAUUUGAUAGUACCUUACUACUUGGAUAACCGUGGUAAUUCUAGAGCUAAUACAUGCUAAAAACCCCGACUUCGGAAGGGGUGUAUUUAUUAGAUAAAAAACCAAUGCCCUUCGGGGCUCCUUGGUGAUUCAUAAUAACUCAACGAAUCGCAUGGCCUUGCGCCGGCGAUGGUUCAUUCAAAUUUCUGCCCUAUCAACUUUCGAUGGUAAGGUAUUGGCUUACCAUGGUUUCAACGGGUAACGGGGUAUUAGGGUACUAUACCGGAGAGGGAGCCUGAGAAACGGCUACCACAUCCAAGGAAGGCAGCAGGCGCGCAAAUUACCCAAUCCCGACACGGGGAGGUAGUGACAAUAAAUACUGAUACAGGGCUCUUUUGGGUCUUGUAAUUGGAAUGAGUACAAUUUAAAUCCCUUAACGAGGAACAAUUGGAGGGCAAGUCUGGUGCCAGCAGCCGCGGUAAUUCCAGCUCCAAUAGCGUAUAUUAAAGUUGUUGCAGUUAAAAAGCUCGUAGUUGAACCUUGGGCCUGGCUGGCCGGUCCGCCUCACCGCGUGCACUGGUCCGGCCGGGCCUUUCCUUCUGGGGAGCCGCAUGCCCUUCACUGGGUGUGUCGGGGAACCAGGACUUUUACUUUGAAAAAAUUAGAGUGUUCAAAGCAGCCCUAUGCUCGAAUACAUUAGCAUGGAAUAAUAGAAUAGGACGUGUGGUUUUAUUUUGUUGGUUUCUAAAACCGCCGUAAUGAUUAAUAGGGAUAGUCGGGGGCGUCAGUAUUCCGUUGUCAGAGGUGAAAUUCUUGGAUUUACGGAAGACUAACUACUGCGAAAGCAUUCGCCAAGGAUGUUUUCAUUAAUCAGUGAACGAAAGUUAGGGGAUCGAAGACGAUCAGAUACCGUCGUAGUCUUAACCAUAAACUAUGCCGACUAGGGAUCGGGCGAUGUUAUCUUUUUGACUCGCUCGGCACCUUACGAGAAAUCAAAGUCUUUGGGUUCU
rnacentral:rRNA from 1 species